rnacentral:rRNA from 1 species
AUUGCUAUCGGAGUCCGAUUUAGCCAUGCUAGUCGUGCGAGUUCACACUCGCGGCAAAUAGCUCAGUAACACGUGGCCAAACUACCCCACAGAGACGCACAACCUCGGGAAACUGAGGCUAAUUCGUCAUACCCCUCUCACGCUGGAACGCCGAGAGGCACAAACGCUCCCGCGCUGUAGGAUGUGGCUGCGGCCGAUUAGGUAGACGGUGGGGUAACGGCCCACCGUGCCCAUAAUCGGUACGGGUUGUGAGAGCAAGAGCCCGGAGACGGAAUCUGAGACAAGAUUCCGGGCCCUACGGGGCGCAGCAGGCGCGAAACCUUUACACUGCACGCACGUGCGAUAAGGGGACUCCGAGUGCGAGGGCAUAUCGUCCUCGCUUUUGUGUACCGUAGGGCGGUACACGAACAAGAGCUGGGCAAGACCGGUGCCAGCCGCCGCGGUAAUACCGGCAGCUCAAGUGAUGGCCAAUCUUAUUGGGCCUAAAGCGUCCGUAGCUGGCCUCGAAAGUCCGUCGGGAAAUCCACACGCCCAACGUGUGGGCGUCCGGCGGAAACUUCGAGGCUUGGGACCGGAAGGCUCGAGAGGUACGUCCGGGGUAGGAGUGAAAUCCUGUAAUCCCGGACGGACCACCGAUGGCGAAAGCAUCUCGAGAAGACGGAUCCG